AGGUGGGGUACUUGUGGGAUUGUCUCGGUGGUGGUGUUGAAGACNNNNNNNNNNNNNNNNNNNNNNNNNUUUUUUUUUUUGAGGUGGAGUCUCGCACUCUCACCCUGGCUGGAGUGCAAUGGUGCGAUCUUGGGUCACUGCAACCUCCACCUCCCGGGUUCACAUGAUUCUCUUGCCUCAGCCUCCCAAGUAGCUGGGAUUACAGGUGCACACCAUGACACCCGGCUAAUGUUUUGUAUUUUUAGUAGAGACGGGUUUUCACUAUGUUGGCCAGACUGGUCUCGAACUACUGAUUUUGUGAUCCACCUGCCUCGUCCUCCCAAAGUGUUGGGAUUACAGGCGUGAGCCACGGCACCCGGCCGGGGAGGGGAAUUGAAGGGUCUUCCCUGGAGCUGGGGUUGGGUGUCUGGGUCCCCUCAGAUCUGCAGGUUCGGACCUGAGCCCAGGGAUCCUUGGUGUUUCAGAUGCAGAAGAUUUUUGCAGACAUGCAGGGCUUCACCUUCAAGGGUGUGGAGAUCCUGUCCCUGAGGAAUGGCAGCAUCGUGGUGGACUACCUGGUCCUGCUGGAGAUGCCCUUCAGCCCCCAGCUGGAGAGCCAGUACGAGCAGGUGAAGACCACGCUGAAGGAGGGGCUGCAGAACGCCAGCCAGGAUGCGAACAGCUGCCAGGACUCCCAGACCCUGUGUUUUAAGCCUGACUCCGUCAAGGUGAACAACAACAGCAAGACAGAGCUGACCCCGGAAGCCAUCUGCCGCCGCGCCGCUCCCACGGGCUAUGAGGAGUUCUACUUCCCUCUGGUGGAGGCUACCCGGCUCCGCUGUGUCACCAAAUGCACGUCGGGCGUGGACAACGCCAUCGACUGUCACCAGGGCCAGUGCGUUCUGGAGACGAGCGGUCCCGCGUGUCGCUGCUACUCCACCGACACGCACUGGUUCUCUGGCCCGCGUUGCGAGGUGGCCGUCCACUGGAGGGCGCUGGUCGGGGGCCUGACGGCCGGCGCCGCGCUGCUGGUGCUGCUGCUGCUGGCGCUGGGCGUCCGGGCGGUGCGCUCCGGAUGGUGGUGCGGCCAGCGCCGAGGCCGGUCCUGGGACCAGGACAGGAAAUGGUUCGAGACCUGGGAUGAGGAAGUCGUGGGCACUUUUUCAAACUGGGGUUUCGAGGACGAAGGAACAGGUGAGUCCUGCCUCCUGAGGAAGCAGGCCGGGGCUUUCUUGGGCACCACUGCGAGGACAGACGCCCUCCCUGCCUUCCUCGCAUUUACUCUGUCCCCCUCUCCCUUCUGUCCCCUCCCUCUCCCCUUCUCUUUCUCCCCUCCUCUUUCUCCCCUCCUCUCUCUCUAGACAAGGAUACAAAUUUCUAUGUGGCCUUGGAGAACGUGGACACCACUAUGAAGGUGAGGGGCUAAAGAGGGGGACCCCAAGGAACUCUCCCAGCCUCCAUUCCAGAAUCCCUCCCCGACCCCCACCAGGGCAGGGAGGGGGCUGGGCUCGGAUCAGCAGUGACCUCCCUGUCAGCCCAAACCAGUGGCUUCGCGUUCCCGUCCCUCACUGUGACUCUGACAGGUGCACAUCAAGAGACCCGAGAUGACCUCCUCCUCAGUGUGAGCCCUGCGGGGCCCCUUCACCACCCCCUCCGCCACCCCCUCCGCCCUGCCUCGGACACAAGGGUCUGCACUGCGUCCAUUUCAAGAGGUGGCCCCAGGACGCGGGCAGCCCAGGCUCCUGCUGUUCUUGGGGAAGAUGAGACUGUUUCCCCAAAUCCCAUCCUUCUCUUUCCAACUUGGCUGAAACCCACCUGGAGACGCAGUUCACGUCCAGGCUCUUCCACUGUGGAAUCGUGGGCAAGUCAGUAACGAGCCUCAGUUUCCUCACCUGCAAAACGGGUACAGCAUUCCUGUAUGAUAUCUCACGCCGUUGUUGUGUAAACCACAUAGACUUGGUCAAUUCUCGAUCCUACUCUGCCCUCCCGUCUCAGCCCUCGUGUUGCCAUUGCCUCUCUCGGAUCCUCCAAUCCUCACGUCCUUCACCUGGUCUCUGGCCCUGGUUCCUAUUUUCUCUCAAUUCCCUACUGCCUGUUUCUUACUCUGAACCUGGAGGCAGCCUGCAGCCCCAUCCCAUCUCCCGCCCUCUCCUGAUCUAACUCCCUGCUGCAUCUCUUGCUCUCAUUCCUUAGACGUCCUCCGCUUUUGACCCCGUUCCUUCAUCCAUCCUGCCCCCCAGUCCCCCAGCCCUAAAUCCUCCCUCCUCUCCUCACAUUCUAGUCCCUAGCAAGGUAUAGAUAGCCUCUGUGUCUUAGGAUACCCCAGGUGCUGUUCCCCCGGUCACCCUGUUGCCCAGUUCCCCGUUUCUCUUGCUCUCAUUCCUUGUAUCUUCUCCCCUUCUGAGCCCAUCCAUUCAUCAGUUCUGCCCCCACUCCCCCAGCCCUAAAUACCCCAGCUCCUAAUCCCCCCCUCACCCCGUUGCCCAAUUCCCCGUUUCUCUUGCUCUCAUUCCUUGUAUCUUCUCCCCUUCUGAGCCUGUCCAUUCAUUGGUGGUUCUGCCCCUACUCCCCCAGCCCUAAAUACCCCAGCUGCUGUUCCUCCCCAUCACCCAGCCACCGGAUUCUCCAUUCACCCCUUUCUCUCACCCCUGGAGCCCCGUGGGUGGGGGCAGGGCAUGAGUUCCCCAGUCCCCAAGGAAAGGCAGCCCCCUCAGUCUCCCUCCUCCUCAUUCCCUUCCAUCUCCCUCCCCUCUGCCUUUUAAACCCAUCCCCUCCGAUUCCCCUCCUCCCCGCUCUCUCCCGAGUCGCAGGUGUCAACUCGAUUCCUGCGGCACCUCUGAGCCCUGAAAUCCUCAGUCUCCUUGGCGGGGAAGAUCGGCUUUGGGAACAGGAAGUCGGCACAUCUCCAGGUCUCCAUGUGCACAAUAUACAGUUUAUUGUAAAAAGCAGCAGCUCUCUGUUUCCUUUUUACCCCCUCAGUGGUCUCCACUUGGUUGGAGAACAGGGAUUUCCAGAGGCGGUGUUGUAGGAGGAUCCUGGGAGCACCCGUGUCUCCCAGGGAGGAAGGAGGAAGGUCUGUGGGCAGCCCUUGGGGGCCAUGACAUUCCUCAUAGAAAACACAGAGGUUGGGGGGGAACCCAUUUUGUUGGAAAGUGACUCGGGGCAGGGGCCCCUUGGGCUUUGUCAUCUGUGCUCUCCACACCCCCACCACUGCCCUGACCUUGACACUGGGGGCUUAGGGAGCAAUUAGACCCCUGGUGUUGGGUCAGGGAGUUGGGUGGUCCAGGGGCUAGGGCUGCCUGGUCCAGCCACCUUUUGCAAGGAUGGGUAAAGCUGAGCCUCCCCAAAGAUCUUGAUCCCCCGACAAGGCCCCCAAACCCUGAUAGCAAACUCACACAGCAGAGCCUGUCUAUGCUGGCGCCGGGCCCUUCUGUUCCUGCUGUUGUGGGCAGUCAGGCCUGCCUGAGGAGUCGAGGGUGAUCAGAAAUAACGUGUCCCCUUGGGUCUUUUGGUGUGGGCUUGGGAGAGGCCCCUGUGAUCUUUGCCCUGGGCAGGGAUGAGCCAUGGCAUUUCGUCACCUCUGUGUCCGGCCAGGGGUGGGGACCAGGACCAUAAAGUCUGAGGUGUGAGUGGGCACCCCGCCCAGGAAAAGGGCUGGAAACUGGGGACCCCAGGGAAAGCCCUGGACAUUUGGAAAGGACCAUGUUGAGGCGGGGGAUGGGGAGGGAUGGCUGGAAGAGAGAGGGGCUUCUCGGGGGUGGGAGUGGAGGGUCCUUCGCUUGGUCUGGCCUGUUGCCAGCUGCCCCUUCCACCGUUGUGAACUUCUCCCUCCAUGGUCACCUGCUCCCCGGCGCUUCUUGGCCCCCACCUCUUGUCACCAGUGGUGUGCUCACACCUCUAGCCUCCGUCCCUCCCUCCUGCACUGCCCCACCCCCAGUGGCUCUGACUUCCGCUGAAAGAGAGGGACCCUGGCUGAGGGCGGUCACUGCUCCAGGACUUAUAAGGGAGGAGGGUGGACAGGCUGCGCUUUGUCCAACUCCCCGUGGUCACCACGUGCCACCGACCCAACAGCAUCACCUCACCUCUACCCUGGGAUAGGCACUGUCCAGGCACUUUGCCCUGCUUCAAGGCAAAGUUCUCUGGGGUCCUUUUUAUAGCUGAUCCCUUCCUGGGAAGCUUUCAUUUCUUGGUCCCUCCUGACGAGGGAAGACGGGCAGCCAGGGGCCCGUUCCCUGGGAGAUGCUGGUGAUCUGGAUUCUGACGCUGGCUCUCCGGCUCUGUGCGUCCGUUACUACAGCGACACCGGGUGAGUGCUCCUGGGCUGAUGCUCCAGGUCCAGUGCUCCUGGGUGGUCAUAGUACACGCCCCUGCCUCAGGCAGCAGGGCUGCAGGUGGCCUCCUCCCCUUUGCAUGGCAAGGGGCUGCCACAGGGCUGGAGACCCAUGCUGUGACCUCAUCUUGCUUUGGGGGUGCUGAAGAGGUCACUUUGGAGACCUGUGGGUGCCUGUGGUUGUGCAGGGGAUGGUCUGCACACAGCUCCUGGCUGAAGGGCAGCUGAAAUCCACAGCUUCUGCUCUCCAGGCUCCCCCCGGGAGGAUGAAGGUGCUUUUGUCACAUAGACAGUGGUCUCUGCCUGCCCUCAUCCUGGGGGCUUUAUCUGCUGGAGGGAUGGGUCUUUCCAAACCUCACGGAGGCACUGCACAUGCUGCUAGCCCUGGUCGGUAGAGAGGGAGUCCAGAGGGGUGUGUGACAGUAUCAUCUCUUGACUUGGAGUAGCCUCAGGUGCACCCGGGGAAUCCCCACCAGUUAAAUGGCUGACGGGGCCAGGCGUGGUGGCUCAUGCUUGUAAUCCCAGCACUUUGGGAGGCCAAGGUGGGUGGAUCACCUGAGGUUGGGAGUUCAAGUCCAGCCUGGCUAACAUGGUGAAACCCCGUCUCUACUAAAAAUACAAAAAUUAACCAGGCAUGGUGGCGCGCACCUCUAAUCCCAGCUACUUGGGAGGCUGAGGCAGGAGAAUCACUGGAACCUGGGAGGUGGAGUCUGCAGUCAGGCAAGAUUGUGCCACUGCACUCCAGCCUGAGCGAUAAGAGCAAAACACUGUCAAAAAAAAAAAAGAGAGAGAGAGAAAGAAAGAGAAAGAAGGAAAGAAGGAAAGAAAGAAAGAAAGAAAGAAAGAGAAAAAAGAAAAAAUGGCUGCCAGUUGCAGUGGCUCGCCUGCAAUCCUAGCACUUUGGGAUGCCAAGGCAGGCAGAUCACGAGGUCAGGAAAUUGAGACCAUCCUGGCCAACAUGGUGAAACCCCAACUCCACCAAAAAUAUAAAAAUUAGCUAGGCAUGGUGGCACAUGCCUGUAGUCCCAGCUACUCAGGAGGCUGAGGCAGGAGAAUCACUUGAACCCUGGAGGCAGAGGUUGCAGUGAGCCGAGAUUGCAUUGCUGCACUCCAGCCUGGCAACAGAGCGAGACUCUCUCAAAAAAACACAAACAAACAAAAAAAGAAACAACAACAACAAAAAACAAACCGUGGCUGAGGGGCUGUAGGAGGAGACAGGGGCUCGGGGGUCCUUGCUCAGCCUGGUCAUGGCUGUGUCUGAGAGAUGACUCUGACCCGCUGAUUUCCCUCAUACAGAACAGACUUUCUGAUUCCUUUCUGGCAGGGGUGGACAGGGAUGAGGAGAGGCGAGAGAGGGAGACCUUGAGUUGAAGGCUGUGGGGUGGGCAGAAGGGGUGGUG
rnacentral:lncRNA from 1 species